GACGAACGCUGGCGGCGUGCCUAAUACAUGCAAGUCGAGCGGACGUUUUUGAAGCUUGCUUCAAAAACGUUAGCGGCGGACGGGUGAGUAACACGUGGGCAACCUACCUUAUCGACUGGGAUAACUCCGGGAAACCGGGGCUAAUACCGGAUAACAUCUAGCACCUCCUGGUGCCGGAUUAAAAGAGGGCUUCUUGCUCUCACGAUGAGAUGGGCCCGCGGCGCAUUAGCUAGUUGGAGAGGUAACGGCUCCCCAAGGCGACGAUGCGUAGCCGACCUGAGAGGGUGAUCGGCCACACUGGGACUGAGACACGGCCCAGACUCCUACGGGAGGCAGCAGUAGGGAAUCUUCCGCAAUGGACGAAAGUCUGACGGAGCAACGCCGCGUGAGUGAUGAAGGGUUUCGGCUCGUAAAGCUCUGUUAUGAGGGAAGAACACGUACCGUUCGAAUAGGGCGGUACCUUGACGGUACCUCAUCAGAAAGCCACGGCUAACUACGUGCCAGCCGCCGCCGUAACAC
rnacentral:rRNA from 1 species